AAGACAGUCUCAGUUCGGAUUGAAGGCUGAAAUUCGCCUUUAUUGAAGCCGGAAUUGCUAGUAAUGGCAGGUCAGCAUACUGCCGUGAAUACGUUCCCGGGCCUUGUACACACCGCCCGUCACACCAUGAGAGUUGGAAAUACCCGAAGCCUGUGAGCUGACCUUUUGGGGGGGCAGCAGUCGAAGGUAGAGCCAAUGAUUGGGGUGAAGUCGUAACAAGGUAUC
rnacentral:rRNA from 1 species